rnacentral:rRNA from 1 species
GAUGAACGCUGGCGGCGUGCUUAACACAUGCAAGUCGAACGAUGAAGCCCAGCUUGCUGGGUGGAUUAGUGGCGAACUGGUGAGUAACACGUGAGUAACCUGCCCUUAACUCUGGGAUAAGCCUGGGAAACUGGGUCUAAUACCGGAUAGGAGCGUCCACCGCAUGGUGGGUGUUGGAAAGAUUUAUCGGUUUUGGAUGUACUCGCGGCCUAUCAGCUUGUUGGUGAGGUAAUGGCUCACCAAGGCGACGACGGGUAGCCGGCCUGAGAGGGUGACCGGCCACACUGGGACUGAGACACGGCGCAGACUCCUACGGGAGGCAGCAGUGGGGAAUAUUGCACAAUGGGCGCAAGCCUGAUGCAGAGACGCCGCGUGAGGGAUGACGGCCUUCGGGUUGUAAACCCCUUUCAGUAGGGAAGAAGCGAAAGUGACGGUACCUGAAGAAGAAGCACCGGCUAACUACGUG